rnacentral:rRNA from 1 species
AUUGAACGCUGGCGGCAUGCUUUACACAUGCAAGUCGAACGGUAACAGGCCGCAAGGUGCUGACAAGUGGCGAACGGGUGAGUAAUGCAUCGGAACGUGCCCAGUCGUGGGGGAUAACUACUCGAAAGAGUAGCUAAUACCGCAUACGAUCUAUGGAUGAAAGCGGGGGACCGUAAGGCCUCGCGCGAUUGGAGCGGCCGAUGUCAGAUUAGGUAGUUGGUGGGGUAAAGGCUCACCAAGCCAACGAUCUGUAGCUGGUCUGAGAGGACGACCAGCCACACUGGGACUGAGACACGGCCCAGACUCCUACGGGAGGCAGCAGUGGGGAAUUUUGGACAAUGGGCGCAAGCCUGAUCCAGCAAUGCCGCGUGCAGGAAGAAGGCCUUCGGGUUGUAAACUGCUUUUGUACGGAACGAAACGGCUCUGGUUAAUACCCGGGGCUAAUGACGGUACCGUAAGAAUAAGCACCGGCUAACUACGUG